rnacentral:rRNA from 1 species
AGGGGCAUCAGUUUGGUUUGCUUGCAAACCAAAGCUGGCGACCGGCGCACGGGUGAGUAACACGUAUCCAACCUGGCUCAUACUCGGGGAUAGCCUUUCGAAAGAAAGAUUAAUAUCCGAUAGCAUAUAUUUCCCGCAUGGGUUUUAUAUUAAAGAAAUUCGGUAUGAGAUGGGGAUGCGUUCCAUUAGUUUGUAGGGGGGGUAACGGGCCACCAAGACUACGAUGGAUAGGGGUUCUGAGAGGAAGGUCCCCCACAUUGGAACUGAGACACGGUCCAAACUCCUACGGGAGGCAGCAGUGAGGAAUAUUGGUCAAUGGACGCGAGUCUGAACCAGCCAAGUAGCGUGAAGGAUGACUGCCCUAUGGGUUGUAAACUUCUUUUAUAUGGGAAUAAAGUUGUCCACGUGUGGAUUUUUGUAUGUACCAUAUGAAUAAGGAUCGGCUAACUCCGUGCCAGCAGCCGCGGUAAUACGGAGGAUCCGAGCGUUAUCCGGAUUUAUUGGGUUUAAAGGGAGCGUAGGCGGAUUGUUAGUCAGUUGUGAAAGUUUGCGGCUCAACCGUAAAUUGCAGUUGAUACUGCAGUCUUGAGUGCAGUAGAGGUGGGCG